rnacentral:rRNA from 1 species
CUGCCCAGUGACAAAGUUAAACGGCCGCGGUACCCUAACCGUGCGAAGGUAGCGCAAUCACUUGUUCUUUAAAUGAGGACUAGUAUGAAUGGCAUCACGAGGGUUAUACUGUCUCCCCCUUUUAAUCAGUGAAACUGAUCUUCCCGUGAAGAAGCGGGAAUAUAUCUAUAAGACGAGAAGACCCCAUGGAGCUUAAAACUCAGUAUCAGCUGCCCUCUAAUACAUCCUCUUAAUUAGGCAGACUUGACUACUAGUUUUCGGUUGGGGUGACCGCGGAGCAAAACAAAACCUCCACGAUGAAAGGAACUAAUUUCCUAAUCAAAGAACCACAUUUCUAUGAAUCAACAAAUUGACAUUUAUUGAUCCAAUUUUUUUGAUCAACGAACCAAGUUACCCUGGGGAUAACAGCGCAAUCCAUUUCAAGAGCCCCUAUCGACAAAUGGGUUUACGACCUCGAUGUUGGAUCAGGGUAUCCCAGUGGUGCAGCCGCUACUAAAGGUUCGUUUGUUCAACGAUUAAAACCCU